GUAAGCGACGGGGAGGGCGGAGGGGGAGGCCGGGGGGGGCCGCGGGUGGUCGGGAGUACUGGGCGUAAAGGGUCCGUAGGGGGUGCGGUAAGUGGGGAGUGAAAUCUCUGGGCUUAACGCAGAGGCUGCUUCCGAAACUACCGUGCUAGAGUGCGAGAGAGGCAAGUGGAAUUGCGGGUGUAGCGGUGAAAUGCGUAGAUAUCCGCAGGAACAUCCGAGGCGAAAGCGGCUUGCUGGAUCGCAACUGACGCUGAGGGACGAAAGCUAGGGGAGCAAACAGGAUUAGAUACCCUGGUAGUC
rnacentral:rRNA from 1 species